rnacentral:rRNA from 1 species
UACGGGGGGGAGCAAGCGUUGUUCGGAUUUACUGGGCGUAAAGGGCGCGUAGGCGGCCAGCACAAGUCAGUUGUGAAAUCUCCGAGCUUAACUCGGAAAGGUCAACUGAUACUGUGCGGCUAGAGUGCGGAAGGGGCAACUGGAAUUCUUGGUGUAGCGGUGAAAUGCGUAGAUAUCAAGAGGAACACCUGCGGCGAAGGCGGGUUGCUGGGCCGACACGUGACGCUGAGGCGCGAAAGCUAGGGGAGCAAACGGG